rnacentral:rRNA from 1 species
AACAUUCUCUCCAUCAAGUAACGGUGACUAAAAAAUAAGUAAGAGCUAUAAAAAUAGUACCGCAAGGGAAACAUGAAAUACCACCCCCACCCCCGCAUAACACAGCAAAGAUCGAACCUUGUACCUUUUGCAUCAUGGUCUAGCCAGUCUAACCAAGCAAAGCGCACCUAAAGUUUGACCCCCCGAAACUAGACGAGCUACUUUACAACAACUCAUAGAGCCAACCCAUCUCUGUUGCAAAAGAGUGGGAAGAUUUUAAAGUAGAGGUGACACACCAACCGAGCCUAGAGAUAGCUGGUUGUUCAGAAAAAGGAUUUUAGUCCAACUUUAAGUUUCAUCUAGUAACACUAAACACACAACUUAAAAGCCAUUCAAAUGGGGUACAGCCCAUUCGAACAAGGGAACAACCUACAACACAGGGUAAUGACCUUGCACAUGACCAAGUGGGCCUAAAAGCAGCCAACUUCCAAAAAGCGUCCAAGCUUACCCAUAAACUAUCCCAAAUUCAACCAUCAAAACAAAACCCACACCCAUUACUGAACGAUCCCAUAUACAUAUGAGAGACAUCAUACUAGAACUAGUAACAAGAAGUAUAGAACUUCUCCACAAUGUAAGCUUUAGCCAAAAUGAACCCCCACCGGCACCCACCGCCACAACCCACAGUACCACCACCCCAAGAAAACCCUACUGCACCCAGCGUCAACCUUACACCAGAACAUUACCGUGAAAGAUUAAAAGGAGGGGAAGGAACUCGGCAAACACCCGCCCCGCCUGUUUACCAAAAACAUCGCCUCUUGACACAACUAAACAUAAGAGGUCUAGCCUGCCCAGUGACAACGUUAAACGGCCGCGGUACCCUAACCGUGCAAAGGUAGCACAAUCACCUGUCCUUUAAAUCAGGACUAGUAUGAAUGGCCCCACGAGGGCAUUACUGUCUCCCCCCCCCAAUCAGUGAAACUGAUCCCCCCGUGAAGAAGCGGGGAUAACACUAUAAGACGAGAAGACCCCAUGGAACUUUAAACUUGUACCACUGCCCCCCCCCCACACCACACUAACAGGACAACAUGACUACAAGUCUUUCGGCUGGGGCGACCACGGAAAAAAACAAAACCUCCAUGAUGAAACAAGGGCCCCCCCCAUCCCAGAACAACUUCUCCAAGAAUCAAUAAAUUGACACAAAUUGACCCAACACCUUGAUCAACGAACCAAGCUACCCUGGGGAUAACAGCGCAAUCCAUUUCAAGAGACCCCAUCGACAAAUGGGCUUACGACCUCGAUGUUGGAUCAGGGUAUCCUAGUGGUGCAGCC